UAUAACGUGAAAUUGGUAAAUUAAAGGUUAUCUCAAUUCUGAAUUAUAAAAAAAAAGACGGCCGGGCAUGAUGGCUCACGCCUGUAAUCCCAGCACUUUGGGAGGCCGAGGUGGGUGGAUCAUGAGGUCAGGAGAUCGAGAAUAUCCUGGCCAACAUGGUGAAACUCUGUCUCUACUAAAAAUCCAAAAAUUAGCUGGGUGUGGUGGUGCAUGACUAUGGUCCCAGCUACUCAGGAGGCUGAGGCAGGAGAAUCACUUGAACCCGGGAGGUGGAGGUUGCAGUGAGCUGAGAUCGCGCCACUGCACUCCAGCCUGGUGACAGAAUGAGACUCCGUCUACAAAAAAAAAAAAAAAAAGAAAAGAAAAGGGAAGAAAGAAAAAUGACAAAGACAGUAUUUAAGUACAAUGUGUGCUAAUAUUAUCUUAGUUUUGUCCUUAGAAACAGCACAUGCCUGGGGAAGUUAUGGAGGUUAUGCAAUCAGCAAACUUAGAAACGUGUUGCUUAACUUCAAAAUUGCGUGGUGGGAAACGUUUCUUGGAGGCCUGAUUUUUUCUAACCAGUUUAUACAAAUGACAACUGCGGUCCCAUCCACUCCAAUCUGUGGAUUUGGUGAACAUGAACAUCUAUCCUUUAAGCAUGACAUGAAUUUUGUUAAAUAUGGAAUGUUUUCCAGAGCUCACUCACCAACGGUAAUAUAAACCACUCUCAGCCCAUAUCCUUCUUUAACAUUCCGGACUAUUGGAGGAAUUCUUGACUUCAACAUGUUUCUGGACCCCACUCCUGAAAAUGUCCAGCAAUACACAGAGAUGAGUACAGUACUGUAAAUAAUGCUCACGUUCCCAUUGCCCUUGUUCUCAUGAGGGAGAAGCAAUUCGUGAGUCUAUAAAUUACCCAUCCUUCAGCCCUCUAAUCUCAAGGUUAAUUGUGCCUACAUUAAGGCCAAAACUCCUGACUUGAUUGUAACUUUAUUAAAUAAGGGUUUUAAAUCCUGUUGGAAUAAUUUAGCCAGAAUUUACCUGAAAUAAAAUUAUACCUUCAAAAAGUAUUCUAGACUUCUAGACUGAAGUAUUUUUUCCCCUCUAGUCAGAGCCACA
rnacentral:lncRNA from 1 species